ACUGGUAAUUGCCUCAGUAACGGCGAGUGAAGCGGCAAAAGCUCAAAUUUGAAAUCUGGCACCUUCGGUGUCCGAGUUGUAAUUUGAAGAAGGUAACUUUGGAGUUGGCUCUUGUCUAUGUUCCUUGGAACAGGACGUCACAGAGGGUGAGAAUCCCGUGCGAUGAGAUGUCCAAUUCUAUGUAAAGUGCUUUCGAAGAGUCGAGUUGUUUGGGAAUGCAGCUCUAAGUGGGUGGUAAAUUCCAUCUAAAGCUAAAUAUUGGCGAGAGACCGAUAGCGAACAAGUACAGUGAUGGAAAGAUGAAAAGAACUUUGAAAAGAGAGUGAAAAAGUACGUGAAAUUGUUGAAAGGGAAGGGCUUGAGAUCAGACUUGGUAUUUUGCAAGCUUUACCUUCGUGGUGGAGUCCCCUGCAGUUUACUGGGCCAGCAUCGGUUUGGAUGGWARGAUAAUGACUUGGGAAUGUGGCUUUGCUUCGGUAAAGUGUUAUAGCCCUUGUUGAUACUACCUGUCUAGACCGAGGACUGCGUCUUUGACUAGGAUGUUGGCMUAAUGAUCUUAAGUCGCCCGUCUUGAAAMMMMGRACCAAGAC
rnacentral:rRNA from 1 species